rnacentral:rRNA from 1 species
GGGGGCUGCAUUCCAAACUGGAUAUCUAGAGUGCAGGAGAGGAAAGCGGAAUUCCUAGUGUAGCGGUGAAAUGCGUAGAGAUUAGGAAGAACACCAGUGGCGAAGGCGGCUUUCUGGACUGUAACUGACGCUGAGGCACGAAAGCGUGGGUAGCAAACAGGAUUAGAUACCCUGGUAGUCCACGCCGUAAACGAUGGAUACUAGGUGUAGGGGGUAUCAACUCCCCCCUGUGCCGCAGUUAACACAAUAAGUAUCCCGCCUGGGGAGUACGGUCGCAAGAUUAAAACUCAAAGGAAUUGACGGGGGUCCGCACAAGCAGCGGAGCAUGUGGUUUAAUUCGAAGCAACGCGAAGAACCUUACCUGGACUUGACAUCCCUUGCAUAGCCUAGAGAUAGGUGAAGCCCUUCGGGGCAAGGAGACAGGUGGUGCAUGGUUGUCGUCAGCUCGUGUCGUGAGAUGUUAGGUUAAGUCCUGCAACGAGCGCAACCCUUGUUAUUAGUUGCUACCAUUAAGUUGAGCACUCUAAUGAGACUGCCUGGGUAACCAGGAGGAAGGUGGGGAUGACGUCAAAUCAUCAUGCCCCUUAUGUCCAGGGCUACACACGUGCUACAAUGGUAGGUACAAUAAGA